rnacentral:tRNA from 1 species
GCUGUGAUAGCUCAGUAGGUAGAGCGCAUCCAUGGUAAGGAUGAGGUCCCGGGUUCAAAUCCCGGUCGCAGCUCCA